UUUUAAAUUGAUUCGUAUUCCUUUUAAAUUGAUCCAGAAAAGGUGUAGAAAAAAAUAGAAAAAACUAGAAAUUGAUUUUUCUAGUAGGAUAGAGGUGAAUGAAAAUCAAUAAAUAAUCCUAUUGGAAAAUACAACUUGGUUAAAUUUUCAAGAUUUGCAAUGGUACUACUCAGAAACGAGUUUUCGUCAAACAUAGGUGCAGCUCUUGCAAAUGCUUUACUACAUGAUAUUAAACAUCUCCUGAAAAAUGAUAUUUCUACUAUUACUAGAAUAAAUAAUCUCCCCUUUGAUGUUGUUAAACUUAUUCACAGUGGGCCAGAGUUUAGGAUGCUUCAAAGUCAAAACGUUGUUAAAAUAUCUGUGAAAAAUCUCGGUAGCUGCAUGUUGUCAUGGGUUGACUUGACCAAAUUUUAAAAAUUUAACAAAAAAAUUAGUUUACAGAAGCAUAUAUGUAAUCUGCUAAAAAAUUUUUAU